AUAAAUAAAUACUCUUUAUUUUUCUUCAUAUACAUGUACAUUAUCAAAAAUAUUUACAGUCUUACAUAAUUGCCCAGGAUACUGAAACUGCAAUUUAUAUAAAAAAAAAAAAAUAAUAGCCGGUUAUACAUAUAUCAAUACAUAAAUAAGGCAGGUUAUAAAUAUAUAAAUGAAUUAAUUAAUGUCAGGUUAUAAAUAUAAGUCUAUCAAUGAAUAAUUAAAAUCAUAUAUAUUUAAUACACGGGCCUAGUAAAUCCAUACAUGCCAUAUUGUGGCUUUAGUAAGUUAAGACCCCUUAACCUCUACAAGCUGUAAUUUAGGCUAAAGCAUUUAAAAUAUUAUAACUCUAAAGUAUGACGUUUUUUUAAAGAAAGAACUAGAGUAGGCCUAUAUGUACAUUUAAUCUCGUUCCUUGACAUUUGGCAUACUUAUUUCAGUUACAUGAAAACACAAGAAUCUAUAAAGCGAAAAAAAACAAAAAACAAAAAACAAUCAGUUAAUUAACUAUAGUUUUGUUUUGUAUCUCGAACAAGGGAACGAAAUUCUACUUGACUGAUAAGGAAGUAUAAGUUAAAUUAGUCUCUGUUAUUGUUUGUAGGAAGAAAAGUUGUCAAUAUUUAUAACUAGCUAUUAACAUAGUUUCAUCCCUGGCGCAGUGGUUUGAGGAGGCUUAGAAGGCUUUAGCCUCAGAGUUUGAAUUCAGGUCGUUCAAUUUUUUAAAAAUACAUUUAACAAGCGAUCACCCAGAUAUCCCCUUCUUUCUCCCCAUACCCUUUUUAACUGGUCCCGACAAGUGAUAGGAUCAUUGCUUAGUGAGAAAGUGGUACGAUCAUAGCUUAGUGAGAAAGUGAUAGGAUCAUAGAUUAGUGAGA